rnacentral:rRNA from 1 species
GAGUCAUUGUAGCAAUACAAGGCAUACGGCUCAGUAACGCGUAGUCCACCUAACCUAUGGACGGGAAUAACCUCGGGAAACUGAGAAUAAUGCCCGAUAGAACAUUAUGCCUGGAAUGGUUUAUGUUCCAAAUGAUUUAUCGCCGUAGGAUGGGACUGCGGCCUAUCAGUUUGUUGGUGAGGUAAUGGCCCACCAAGACUAUUACAGGUACGGGCUCUGAGAGGAGUAGCCCGGAGAUGGGUACUGAGACACGGACCCAGGCCCUAUGGGGCGCAGCAGGCGAGAAAACUUUGCAAUGUGCGAAAGCACGACAAGGUUAAUCCGAGUGGUUUCUGCUAAAGAAACCUUUUGUCAGUCCUAGAAACACUGAUGAAUAAGGGGUGGGCAAGUUCUGGUGUCAGCCGCCGCGGUAAAACCAGCACCUCAAGUGGUCAGGAUGAUUAUUGGGCCUAAAGCAUCCGUAGCCGGCUCUGUAAGUUUUCGGUUAAAUCUGUACGCUCAACGUACAGGCUGCCGGGAAUACUGCAGAGCUAGGGAGUGGGAGAGGUAGACGGUACUCGGUAGGAAGGGGUAAAAUCCUUUGAUCUAUUGAUGACCACCUGUGGCGAAGGCGGUCUACCAGAACACGUCCGACGGUGAGGGAUGAAAGCUGGGGGAGCAAACCGGAUUAGAUACCCGGGUAGUCCCAGCUGUAAACUAUGCAAACUCAGUGAUGCAUUGGCUUGUGGCCAAUGCAGUGCUGCAGGGAAGCCGUUAAGUUUGCCGCCUGGGGAGUACGUACGCAAGUA